ensembl:lncRNA
CAGGGUGAUGGCUCUGGAGAUUUGUAAUUACCAAGUUCAUGCUGAGGAAAUGAAACAACAUGUCAGUGAGACUGCUUAGAAAGACUUGAAAGGAUAAGUGUGUUGACAAGAACUCUGCUACGGACUGUUUCACUGGGGUCUUUUGGUCUAAUACGGAUAGCACAUGCAGAGCAAUCUUGCUGAGGAGAUCCUGUGAACCCACGUGCUGUCAUCUGGGCACCACACUUUCUUCAGCAAUCACUGCAAACACUCUUUUGGGACAGACUUUCCCACAGAUUUUCUUUUGUAACCCUCCAGGAGGGUUGGUAAAUCAUUGCGUCAUGCAGUCAUUUGUGGAAGUGCAACAGAUGGAGGACCAAACAGUUGCAGACAACCAUCCCAGAGCUGAAACUGCUGUCAUGGGGCACCUUGAGGGAGKCAGCCAUGGUGUAAGGCAGCCCUUUCGAGAAGAUCUGCAAGGAUUCUGGAUCACAAUAUUUGUGAUGGGGUUGUCCUAUGCCCAUAAGCCAGGCUGCACUAGUCCUGCUGAGCAGAGGGCUCGAUCUGGUCCUGGUGGUUCUCCAACCUUGGAGGUCUUGGCUCCAUUCUCCGAUAUCAUCUCCACUUGC